UCCCGUUCCGUGGGAGAGCGCAGAUCCGUCUGCCGCCGAAGGCGCAAUUUCACCCGAAAACGCUCAGGCAAAAGGACCGCGGAACCAAA
rnacentral:ncRNA from 2 species